AUUGAACGCUGGCGGCAGGCCUAACACAUGCAAGUCGAACGGUAACAGGAAACAGCUUGCUGUUUCGCUGACGAGUGGCGGACGGGUGAGUAAUGUCUGGGAAACUGCCUGAUGGAGGGGGAUAACUACUGGAAACGGUAGCUAAUACCGCAUAACGUCGCAAGACCAAAGAGGGGGACCUUCGGGCCUCUUGCCAUCGGAUGUGCCCAGAUGGGAUUAGCUAGUAGGUGGGGUAACGGCUCACCUAGGCGACGAUCCCUAGCUGGUCUGAGGGGAUGACCAGGCACACUGGAACUGAGACACGGUCCAGCCUCCUACGGGAGGCAGCAGUGGGGAAUAUUGCACAAUGGGCGCAAGCCUGAUGCAGCCAUGCCGCGUGUAUGAAGAAGGCCUUCGGGUUGUAGAGUACUUUCAGCGGGGAGGAAGGGAGUAAAGUCAAUACCUUUGCUCAUUGACGUUACCCGCAGAAGAAGCACCGGCUAACUCCGUGCCAGCCGCCGCGGUAA
rnacentral:rRNA from 1 species